rnacentral:rRNA from 1 species
AACACGUGGGGAACCUGCCCCAUAGUCUGGGAUACCACUUGGAAACAGGUGCUAAUACCGGAUAAGAAAGCGAUCGCAUGAUCAGCUUUUAAAAGGCGGCGUAAGCUGUCGCUAUGGGAUGGCCCCGCGGUGCAUUAGCUAGUUGGUAAGGUAAAGGCUUACCAAGGCGAUGAUGCAUAGCCGAGUUGAGAGACUGAUCGGCCACAUUGGGACUGAGACACGGCCCAAACUCCUACGGGAGGCAGCAGCG